UUUUUUUUUUUUUCCUGGAGUCUUAAAAUGUGGAGGCUUCCCAGGUGUAUUGUCUCAGAUUUUUGGUUGUUGAAUACUUACUUUUAGCUUCAUAUGCAGACAAAAUUUCUGUGCUUUCAGAAUCCCACUUGUCAUUUGUUUAUGAAUUUUCCACUCCAUUGUAAUCCUGUAGUGCGACAGUAGUAGUUCUGUAACAUAAGCAGCAGUGGUAUAUCUACAGUGUAUAGGCAAGUUGAGCUGAUCCACAUUGCCCACUCUUUGUAAUAGUGCACUGUCACUGAGAAGAUGACAUUGCUUUCAGAUGUUCUUUCAACCAUUCUGCUGAUACUUGUUGGUUUGCCUUUGAAUUUGAAAAUAUAUUCUCAACACAGACUUAAUCACAAAAGGUGCAUGGAUUAAUCAUCUAUUGGAUGUUCUGUUUCUGGUAAGAGAUUUCUCUGUGGUAACAAGAGAUACCAGUAUUUAAAAUUUAACAGUAGUCCACAACAGCUCCUUCGAACAUACCACUGCGAAUUUUAUUUGCAGUAAAGAUUUUACCUUCCUUCCAAACUCAAAGUUGGUUUUUUAGUAUUCUUGUGUUACUUUCAUCUUUCAUGGGUCAAAUAUCUUCCAAUGUGGUACAUAAGUAGUAGGUUUGCUACAAUUCCGUAAAAGGCUAUUCAUGCCAUAAAAAACUGCUGGUCUUGGGCUUUGAUAUUUUGUAUAUUUCAUUCUCCUAGAAAUUUCAGCAGUGUUCGUUCCAAAACAUCAAAAGAAAUACUAUUUGUUGACAGACUGCAGUUGCUUAUUCUCUCCUUUUCUAUUUGGCUGUUAUAUACAUUGACUAAUUCUCAUGUUUGUAUUGAGAAGUUCAGUGGAGGAGAAUAAUCCAUUCCUUUCUACUUUGUCACAUCAGAUCUACUUAAUUCUGCCAUGCCUCUCAAGUAAGAUUUAGAUUGUUUAAGGUUUAGUAUAAUGAUAAUUCUGUGAGGUGGGAGACACCUUUUAACAUUCUCACGACUUUUACAGGGUGGUUUGAAUUGUGGUCAUCAGUUGGAGUAUGAAAGGCUUCAAAGAAGACUGCUCGGCAAACAAGCUGAACCUUACUUUCUUGGGGUGUAAGUGGGAGUUGCUCCCAUGUUUGAGGAUACCCUCUGAGAAGCAGUAGCAGGGAAGUUCUCCAAGGAAAUUUUAAAACAGCUGAUCAUUGACAACUGGGGAAAAUAUUUCAUAUAAUGCAUAUAAUGCAAUAAUGCAUCGUGCACCAGUCUGCAUAUAAAUUGUAGGGAUUGAUAAGAUAUACUGUAUAAAUUGGAAUUGAUUACACCAGAUUCUGGAAGUGAUGAAUGAAAUAAUUGCUCAGGCUAAACUCAGCUGGAAAAGUUAUCUGCAAUUUCUGAAAUUGGGCUAGAAGUCACACUUAAAUAAUUUGGACAAUCCCAAUGACUUCAAUCAUGUGGUAGCUCUUGCUGUAAUGUGAAGUUUUGGGGCCAAAGGUGCAGUCUUCGAAGUGUGUGUUCCUUCUACAAGGCAAUAAAUAAGUAAAAUUUACACACUGGUAAAGCAUUGUAUAAUGUGGACAUAAUUUUAUAAUAGUACAAGUGGAAGAUUGAUUAAAAUCGUAGUGUAAAGACAUUAAAAGAGUCACUAUGGAAUAAUGUGUUUUCUUUCAUCCAGUGCUUAAGCCCUAACUGUUCACAAGUUUCAUUAAAUGUGUG